rnacentral:tRNA from 1 species
GGGCGCGUCACCUAGCACGGAUAGGGUGUCGGCCUUCGGAGCCGAUUUCCGGCGGUUCAAAUCCGCCCGCGCCCG